rnacentral:rRNA from 1 species
UCUUUUCUCAAGGAGGAAGAUCUGACGUUACUUGAGGAAUAAGCAUCGGCUAACCCUGUGCCAGCAGCCGCGGUAAUACAGGGGAUGCAAGUGUUAUCCGGAAUUAUUGGGCGUAAAGCGUCUGCAGGUUGAUAUUUAAGUCUUUUGUUAAACCUCCGGGCUCAACCCGGAAUCUGCAAAGGAAACUAUCUAUCUUGAGUAUGGUAGGGGUAAAGGGAAUUUCCAGUGGAGCGGUGAAAUGCGUAGAUAUUGGAAAGAACACCAACAGCGAAGGCACUUUACUGGGCCAGUACUGACACUCAGAGACGAAAGCUAGGGGAGCAAACAGGAUUAGAUACCCUGGUAGUCCUAGCUGUAAACGAUGGAUACUAGAUGUUGUGUACCUUAGGGUAGGCAGUGUCGUAGCUAACGCGUUAAGUAUCCCGCCUGGGAAGUAUGCUCGCAAGAGUGAAACUCAAAUGAAUUGACGG